ACACCACCAUCGAAGAUCCCUCAGCAACAGUCGGCGAUCAUCAGUAUAAAGCAAUUCAACCUGCUAUUCCAGUAGGUCCAGAAUCUGACCACCACCAUCCAGACCAGGUAGCAUAUUACAAAUGCGCAGGUAGCGAUAAUGGCAGUGCAUCAGAUGAGCCACCACACCUGUACUGAUAACAGUGGUCCAGCCACCGAUGCCAUGCUAGUUGGGGAGUCUCACCCGAUGGUGCCUCUACAAUGACCAGCUCUACC
rnacentral:lncRNA from 1 species